CCCCGCCAGAGGAAGAGGGCCCAGCUGCGCCAUUAGCGCGUGCGAGGGAAAAUGGAGGCUCCUGGUCCCACCCGCGCACCGGCGCCUGCGCCCUGGGCGCCCACCCCGGCCCGCGAGGCGGCCACGGCCGGAGAGAGAGGGCAAGGGAACCAGUGCCGUGUCGCGCCCCACCCUGCGCCCGAGCGCAGUGCCGGCGAGCCCGGCUCCGGCCCUUGAGAGUCCGCUCCAGGCCGCUCCACACCACGAGCCGCUCCGCAAGUUUGCAGCGCUCCGUGCUUUCCCUCCAGCCCUUUGUGUUCUAGCGCGCGUCGGAAGGAACGCGGGAACGCGCGCCGUGCUGUGCGCCUGCGCAAGGGUUCAGGCGGUGCGCCAAGCCUGGAGUCAAGAGUGGGCGAGGCUCUCGGCCGCUCCGCCCCGGGCCGCCUUCGCUCCGCCCCUCGCCCGCCAUUUCGUGCUCCGCCGCGUCUCCCGCGUCUGGGGCGCGGCUUCCGCGUGAUGGACGCCCGGAAGCCGGCACAACAAAUGCCCAAGCGCCAGGGCUUCGCUGUCUGCAGGUCCUUCCGCUGCCCGCGGAGCGAAGAUGGCGCCUAGAGCUUGCAGCGUUGCCCAAAUCCGGGUGUGCACGGACACGUGCAUUCAGGAAUGUAGUGGUUCACAGAAGCCGCUGUUUGCGCGGCCCGGGGAUGUACGUGGACCCUCGAGUGCUAGCCCCGCCUCCGCUGUCUGUGGCCCGCGAACACGAUCUUGUUUCCGGCCUGUUUUGGAUUCAUUUGCACUUGCCCAGUUUACAUGCAAAGCAUAAUCUGCCGACCACCCCAAGCAAUUUUUAAUCUUUCCUUCGUUCUUUCUUCACUGAUUUUUUGGCUCCUGCCCUGGACCCAACUUUGCACUUGGGCGCACACGGUGAUAGUGACGCAGAGCAUGAAGCCAGUGGGAGAAACGCCUAGAAAUAGGCAGUUAGGACAACCUGAGACCACUGUGAAGGAGGCGCUUGGCUUGUCAAUGACAGGGGAAGCGGCCUGGAGGAAGCCGUGAGCCGAGACCAGGGCAUGGGGUAGAGGGAAUAGGGUAAUGGGCCCAGGACUGUUUGGGGAGGCAUUCAGUCUCAUUUGAGAGGAUGGUGGGUGGAAGCAGAGGAGGCAGGUCAUGGAGAGGAGUGUGUGGGGAAGGGACCUGUUGGUGAGGCUCGGGGGGCAGAAGACUUGGGCAGGCGUCUGAAGUGAGAGCUCGCAUGGACUGGCCUCCCUAGGGAGCAGUGGGGAGAAGCAGCUGGGGCCUGGGGGUAGAGCCCGUGUGCCCACUGUUGACACCUUCGCGGGCUACUGCUCCUCGUGGCUUCUGUAUGGAGCACAGGCCUCUUUCCGGGAGAGGGACUCGGACUGCAGGCUCCAGCCCUGCACUGCCAUGAAAGGCCUGGGCAGGUUGUCUGCAUAAGAACAGUACCUCUGGUGGUGGAAAUGGAGGGAGACGCCACGGCACAGAGGACCUGUCCCAGACACGCGGGAUGGCAAGCAUCAGAGCUGGAGUGACUGCCGAGGUCCCCUGGCACAAGGCUCCAGAGGCAGCUCCCCAUCCCACCCCACUCCUGAGCAGGCGGCCGGAGCUGCCCCCUCUGAAUGCCACGCUGGGCAAGGGGUCCGUGCCUGGGAAACACCUGGUGGGCAAUGCUCUGGCCUCAAGAAUAAACAACGGGGAUCUAGAUGAUGCCACCGUCCUCAGUCUCUGACCUCCAAAGGAGCCACAUUCAAGAGAAGGGAGGUCCCUCCACAAAUGAGACAGCAGAAGAAUAAAUGCUACCCUGUGCCUGCCGACUUCCUGCAGAGGUCUGUGGGCUCGUGUAAAUAAUUGAAUGGAAAACUUCAGAAGGAAGGCAGCCCACGGGAGCCUGGCCUUGCCCGCCAGAAAGCAGGUUAUAAAAUGUUUCCCAUGUAAGUGGUGGCUGGGGGUAGUCAGGAGGCCUAGUUACAACCCCGAGAAGUAAGGCUGCCCUGGGCUCCCAGGGGAAACACUGGGCUGGGUGGGUGGGCGCUCUUCAGGGAGUAGAUUCCUCCCGGCCACCCUCAGCUCCUAGUCUCUUGGGUGUGGUAGCUCCAAGAUCUCAAAGCCCAAUCGCCGAGCCCGGUGGUUUCCGAUGUGUCCUACCCUCCCUCCUGCUGCACAUGCAGCUUGCAUUGCUGGGGAGUAAGGGGAGAUGAUUUCCGGCCAGCACAGGCAAAGCCAGGCAGGGAGUCCCCUGAGGCGGCGCAGCAGGAGGACCACCAAGUGUGGCCCA
rnacentral:lncRNA from 10 species